GUCAGCACCCCGCUCUAAAGAGCAGGGGCCGAAGCGCCUCUCUCUUAGAUAGCUGACCUGCCUAAGUCUUGUUGGACUACGUUUUUAGAGUUAUGACACCUACAAAUGCUUGACCGUUUGUAGCUAGUCGCGUAUUUUUGUUAAACAUUCCGACUCGGGGUAAGAAAGUGCAACUAGCCGAACAAGCUUGAAAAACAUUGGCUCAGAAAAAAUUAC
ncrna:Lyngbya sp. PCC 8106 HNH endonuclease-associated RNA and ORF (HEARO) RNA